UGGGAGGCAGAGGUUGCAGUGACUGAGAUUUUGACACUGCACUCCAGCCUGGGCAACAGAACGAGACUCCGUCUCAAAAAAGAAAAAUUGAAAUUUCUGUUGAAACCCAAUGAAUGAUCGGAAAUUUGGUGAAGAUGGGGGCAGAUGUGUUCCAGAUAAUACAUGUUCAAUAACUGGGGCAGGAACAUCAGCAAAGGCCCAGGGAAGGAAAGAACAUCCUGUCCCUGUCUCAGCUUCUUGGUGGGUGAGGGUGGGAGUGAAAACGGUGGGUGACGUCAACAACAGCAGUCCAAGGGCCCGAGGGCUGCCCUUCUUUCUGCUUUGCAUCUGUGGUAUUUUAAGAUUCUCAAGACUACAGCAUUCCUGUUCCUAGGUGUCUGUCCCAAAGAGAACUGAGCAGUAGCAUUUUGUCGGUGUGAGCCUGCCAACCCAGAUGUCCCCUCUUUACCUGAAAGUCUCAGUUGGACUCACCCUUUCCACAAUGUUCACUGAACGCCAGUUCUGUGCAAGCCCGAGGCUAGAGGCUGGGUGGGGAAGGGAGGGGAGCGGGAUUCUUUCCAGCUCGAAAGAGCUCAUGCAGCGUGAGCCACUGCACCUGGCAAGGCCAACGUAUAUAAAAAUGAGAGGAAACAAACUCAACGAGUGAACAUUUUUUAUCAGUAAUUGCAGAACAAUGGGAGUUCUUGGAUUAUGCAUGUUGCAGGCCCUCUUUGCUGAUUAUCCUUCAGGUGUCCCCAGUUUGUCCCAAACUGUCUCACAUCUUGGUCAGCUAUAUUAUUUUUUCAUUGUACUCCUUCUCAGGAUAACACUCCAUGUACUAUGAAGCCAAAGCACUUUAAAACCUAAUGAGCUUAAAACCUUGAAGCAGAAAGACCAACUGAAAAGCAUUAGCAGUUGGAGGGUAGAUGGGAAGGAAACAAAACAACUGCUACUGGAGAGAACAAUUCACCACUGAGGUCAAAGGUAGCAAAAGAGCUUGUAGGUUGAGCACAAACUGGUAUUGUGGAGUAUUGCAAAAGCUUCAUGUUGCAUGCAGGAUUUCCCCCAGUCGUUUUCAACUGCACAAUUAAGGCAGCUACAUUUGCCGAUACCAAACAUAUACACGUAUAUGCACAUUGAGUUGAGAAAGAGGUGCCACCUAUAUCAUGUGUCAUGUGACAACAGAAAACUAUAUCUUGCCACUUUGGGGACACUGGGUUGCAACUCAGCUGUUUGAGAGAAAUUAAAUAAUACAGUGUGUCCUUUGAGGCCAAAAUGACUAGAAGAUCAUUUGAGACUAGGCUACAAUAUUCCUGCUCAAGAGCUGAGUUCGUUUCUUCCUUCAUGAAGGAAGUUAAUGAGAGAUGAGUUUGAAAAAGGUUGUCUCGUGGCAAAGUUUGGCUCAUUGCCAAAGUAAAGUAAACAGGUCUUACCAAAACUUCUGAAGACUGAUGAUAAUGAACUGGUGUUUCAUUCUCAGAUUUUAAUUUUGUUAAAAUAGCUGUAAAAGUCCUUGGAAUCCAGUUCCAAGGGUAAAUAAAAAAGACUGUCUUUUCUGAGACUUUUAGUAAAAAUUAAGCUAUAAUUUUCAUAGUGGUUGAUAUAAUCUAAAUACAAAUGAGUAAUUAGGUAACUUCAUUAUGUAGUUUCUAUACACAAUUUUCUGCACAGUAGUAGUUUAUUACAACCAAGUAAAAGCCACUUACCUGUGCUCCUACGUGGAUAUGAAUUAGACAUGCUAUUUUAUUUUCUACAACGGUCUGGAGAACAGGGUUAGGAGGUAAAAGGUCUCACAGCCUGAGGUGGAGACUAGAAGAACAGCUGUUUCCACCACCCUUUCCACCAUGUGCAUUUUUAGACCCAAGCAUUGUUUGUUCUCUGUUCCCUGCUGCAGGCAUUUCAAAGCCAGCUUCAGCCCCGCCUCACGGAUACAUGUGCUCAGUGGUGCUGCUCACUGCUUUAUGUUUAACUGGUAGUCUCUGCCACUGUGUUCUCCUGAACUUUAAAUUUCCUCAGUUAUUACAACCAAUUAUUCGGUAUAUACUUUGUGUUGGACAAUCUUUCUCUUGUGAACAUCUAUGAGUUUCGAAAACAAAAAUCAUCAGAGCUGAAUCUGAGAAAUAGAACUGUUUUCGUCACAAACAAGUUACAGUUACGAGGUACUGAAAAAAAAUGUGUGAUUCUGCAAGUAAUUCCAAAAGAGGAAUUUUUUUAAGAUUUUGAGCAAUGCAUAGUAUCACUGGAGUAGGGUAGAUUAGGUACUUGGGAGAAACGAAGGAAGAAAGCAAGCAAGCGUCACAGGACGGACGGACAGGUAGCUACAGUGCAGAAGGAGAUCCAAAGAAGAGUACAGAAAUCACGCUGAGAUGAGGAAAUGGAGACCAGAGUUUGGGGGAGGCUGAGAAACCAGAAUUUGUGGCACAGAGUACCAUACAGUAGGUUGCUGCCCAGCAAUGAAGAGAUCCAGAUUGAAAACAGAAAUCAUCACAGCUGAAUCUGAAAACUAGAACUAUUUUAGUCAAAAACAAGUUAUAGUUACAAGGUACUGAAAAAAAAUCGUGAUUCUGCAAGUAAUUCCAAAAGAGGAAUUUUUUAAAUGUUUUGAGCAACGUACAGUGUCAUUGGAAUAGGGUAGAUUAGGUACAUACUUGGAAGAAACGAAGGAAGAAAGGAAGCAAGCAUCACAGGCCGGAUGGACAGAUACUAUGUCUCAUUGUUUCUUUUCUUAAUAGUUUUUAGGAAAACUUUCCAAACCCAAAUAAACCACCAAGUCCUGGUUGCUUUUCUUUGUCUUUGGAUAAUGUCUUUCACAAAAACGAAGCCCACCCUUGAUUAUCUUCACUUACAGGGUAAUGCCUGUGGGUCCAAUGGAGGCUCUGGCUGAAUACUAAGCUGUAUGUGCAUAACACAAAGCUCCAUGGGUCUGAGCAAAGAAUGUACAGGCAGCUGUAAGCUGAACAAUUCUCGGAGCUCACAGGGGAUUCGGAUACAUCUGAGUUCCAACCCACCAAAGGGGAAGAGUUCACUGAAC
rnacentral:lncRNA from 10 species